UGAAAUCUGCAUAUGUCUCUUCAAACAUCAAUCUUCAAACAACGACCAUAUUUCUCUUCAAAUAUCUAUGGUUUUUAAUGAAAUCUGCAACAUAGGCUUGGUUUUAGGUUUGUGAUUAUCAUCAACAAAUGAACACAAGACUGAAAAACUAAUCUUGAAAUUAUUAGAGCAUAUUAUGAGGUCAUAAUACACCUUCCCC
rnacentral:lncRNA from 1 species